UAUGGCCAUAUCACAUUGAAACACCCGUUCCCGUAUGAUCACUAAAGUUAAGCAACGUAGAGUCUUGUCUGUACCUAGAUGGGUGACUGCUUGGGAAUAGGGGGUGCUGUAAG